UGCCUACGGGGACCAGAUAGUAACAUGGCGCUGCACUGGGAGGACUCGGACACUUAAGGGGAGAAAGUAACGGACUUCCGGUCUGGAGCAGAAGUAGCUGGUGGGGGCGUUUUGUGCGUAGGAGGCAAGACGCCGGUUCCGGGGCUUCCCCGUGGAGUUUGCGUGGGUGAUUCCCGAGAGCAUUGCAGGCUGGAAGUGCAGCCUCCCGCCAUGGUGAAGAUCUUUGUGGGAGGGGUCUCCCCUUCUGUCACAGUGGAUGAGCUGAAGAAGCUCUUUGAGCAGUAUGGACAGGUGAAUGAGUGUGACAUCCUGAAGAAUUUCGCCUUUGUGCACAUGGAGAAGGAAGACGAGGCCCACAAGGCCAUCAGCGAGCUGCACAAGCAGGAGUUCUACGGGGCCCACCUGACGGUGGAGUACGCCACCUCCAAGAUCCGUAACGCCACCAAGAUCUAUGUGGGCAACGUGUCCAGCAAGGCCACGACAGCACAGAUCAAGGAGCUCUUUGAGAAGUUUGGCAAGGUGGUGGAGUGCGACAUCGUCAAGAACUAUGCCUUUGUCCACAUGGCCAAGGAGAGGGAAGCCAUGGAUGCCAUCUUGAACCUCAACGACAUGCCUCUGGAGGACCAGAAGAUCUUUGUAACGCUGUCCAAGAGCAACAACUCGCUCAAGACAACCAAGGGGACCUCUGUGCCACCUCCAACCCCCCCCAGCUACUACUUUCCCAGGGGGCGCAUCCCCCCGCCACCACCUCCAUAUACCCCCUAUGUGCCCCGAUCUUGGUAUGACCGGGAAUAUUAUGACCACUAUGCCUAUGAGCUCUACGACCGGGCGAUGACUGCCAGGACUGCAUACGAGAGGGCCCUGCCACCUCCGCCCUCUACCCCCACCGCAUACAGAGAGAGGAGCCCUGUGGGCAGGCGGACGACCGCUGCGGUGGCCCAAUAUACUGAUCCCUACACUGCCGCGGCUGCCGCCCAGACAUACAGCCAAGUGUACAACCAAACGGGUUAUGCAGCAGUGGCGGCUGCAGCCGCAGCAGCAGCUACCUACUCCCAGUACAGCAUGGGUGCCACCUACAGUGCAGGGGAGUACUAUGAGAAAUACAGCAACAGCUAUGCCACUCAAUAUGCCCAGACGUACUAAUCUGACUGGGCUCAUAGUAGUAAGUGACCAGAGAUCUUAGCUUCGGUGGGGGGCGGCGGCAUGGGGUGGAGAGUAACUAGCCCUAGAACUCCUUAUUGGCACAGUUUUUUAUGGGGUAAGGGAGUGCCACUCCUCCCUAAAGUAGCUCUCUGAUGCCAUCCACAGUGGAUGGAGGUUACCAUGCCUCCUGAAAGGCGGUAAAUAGGCUCCUAUGAACUAGAGAACCUUUUGUGUGUGUGUGUUUAUAUAUAUAUGUAUAAAGAUAGCCUAGAUUUCCUUUGAAGGUCAAGUAGCGCUGGCGAGAAGUGAGUUUGCCUGCCUGCCUCCCUCCCUCCCCUCCCCGUUAAGAUAUUAACCUGCUUUCUUUUUACUUCAGUCUUUUCAAUGCUCCCACUUUCCGAGGUUUGUUAGGUUGCAUCUUUUCUCUAUUUUCCCCUCUCAUCCCCUUUCCCUCCUGGUUUCCUUUCCUCAUGUUUUGGUUUGGUUCGGUCUCUAAGAAAAUAAUCCCAGUUUGGAAGAUCUGUCGCCCAUUGUGACGAACUGGCCCCCUGCAAUUCUGCACUGAAAGCCAAGGCGAUUCUACUCGUAAUUCAGCGCUGAUCCUUUCUUGAUUCCCCUCCCAUCUCAUCAGUUUUAACUGUUGUAACUUGCAGUGCUCUUUUUUCAUUUUUUGCUGGCUAAUUCCUCGGCACGGUCUUCCCGUGUUGUGCAUUGCGGAGCGGAGUUUUGAAAUGUGUGUCUCUAGAUCCGUAGCUAGGACUGGAGGGUGGGAGGGGUGCCUUGUUCUGUUUCUGUACCUCAGUAUGACAAAAGGAAGUGGAUUUUUUUGGUGCAUCCAAAGUCUGUCUGUGUCACGGCUUCUUUUUCCCUUUUCAUUUUUUUACAUUGAUGAUUAAACAGCUUGUACAGAACUUCCCGGCGUCUCGUCGUCAAAUCAGCUGCUGCGUCGCUUUAACUGUGCCCAACCCUCUGUGCGGCUCUUCUUUCCCUGCCUCCCUCCUCUGUGCCUGGCAAAUGGCAAAACUGACACCCCAAUUUCGCUUGACCGUAUCGCGCUGCCUGUUCCGCCGCGGUUGCCUCAGUUAAUGGAGCGACCCUCUUCCCUUCCCGUCUCCCGUGUGCCCUCCCCACGGCGAGUGCCUUGUUAGCAACCCCACAGGCUGCCUGGGUUUCCCUCCUGCCUUCUGGCCGCAGCAUUCCUUUGCUCUAACUUAGCCAGGGCAUCUGUAACUCUGACCUAUUGCAAGCCCCUUAUCUGUUGUUCCUGUUGUUGACGCCAACUCCCCACCCACCCACACGCAUUUGUUUAGACCUCACUUGUCAGGUAUCUAACAUUGUAACCCUUUCUCCCCCACCCCAUUGAUUUUUUUUUUCUCCAUACACAGCCCGGUGCUCGGAGGCGUAAGGGGGAAAGGGAUCUCGGCUGCAAAGGUGCAGGCAGAGCUGAUUCAAGACAGCGCAAUGCCUUUAACCACUACCCUGCUGAAGGAAGCGUGAAGCCUCCACUACAAGCUUGAGAGCAGACUCUGGGCAGAACAUGGUCACCGGCUGGGGCCAGGAAUUGCACCCCCCAUUGGUACAGCAUUGGGUAAUGCCUUCUAUUGAUGUGGGAUACAGAACUAGGUGGACCACUGGUGUGUGAGAGAAGUGAUAGAGAGACCCUUUCAUUCCCCCAGCAGCACGUCUGGGAGGUGAAGUGGGAGCAUCAGAAAAAAACAGUCGACAGGGUAAACGUCUCCCUCUGGCAUCUGUCCAUGGCAGAUUGAGGUAAGGCAGAAAGACCUUCCUGAUGAGUGUUUGAGCCUGUGUUUAUUGGAGAUGAUGUUGUGAGCAGGGGAGUGGGGUACAGGGGGGAAUGGUGUAGUGGUUAGAGCAGGGAGAGUCUACCACUAUAAGCUUGUAGACAGAUCACUUCCCCUCCCUGUAUCAGUUUCCCCGUGUGUGACUGAGGGAGCCUUUCAGUGCCUGGAGAGCCUCUAAUGGAAAGGGCUGUAGACGCAUCAUUGCCAUUCAGCCCAGGCUCAAAGGUCAGACUGCUUCCAUCCACUGACCAAGGGGGGGUGGGAUGAUGUGUCCCAAGAACAGGAUUUGGAGGAGCCCGCAGCUCAGGGGAAGCUGCUCUGAGCGUCCAAUCAGAACUGUCUGGAUCUGGCUGUGGGGGAGCAUUAGGGAGCAAGUCUUAGUUCCAUAACCAUCCAAAGAGGGGGCACGGUAUCUGCUUUCAGCACAGUUCAUGGAGAGACAUUUGUCAGCCUGACUUCUGAGCCAUCCUGUUGGGACUGUCAAGUCUGCUGACGCCCCAGAGUCCUUGGUGCUGGCAGCCGUGCACCAUCCGAGCUCUGUGUUUAAAUCUGUGCAUUCUAUGCUGAAGGCCAGCUGUUAACCCAAGCCCCUCCAGGCCAAUGGGAAACCAAAGGGCAGGGUGCAAAGCCCCUAGAUCCUUUUAGAAACUCGGGAAGGAGGGGCUAGUGAAUCUAACUCCCCCGUCUGUUCUAGAUUGACCCUAUCCCAAAGAGACCUUACAUCAAGGUAACCCCCAGACCAGGAACUCUUUUGGCCUCAGAUGACAUGUCAGGGGAAGAGCAGGAUUUCUGGAGGACCCACCAAGCAUCCUGCUAGCAGAGGUGAAAGAUGACUUGAGGGAUUCCCCGAAGAUCUCCCAGUCUCUUCUCUCUAACCACUGUGAGCCUUAAACACCCAUGGGGACUCCAACCUGAGAUGAAGCAGGAGGUAAGCGCUUUUCUCCCCCCUUCCCUUUCACUCGCACUCCAAGAGGAAGGAACAGUCGUGUGCUUCUAUCACAGACAGCACAAGGUCUGGGUUCGAGUCCCUGGUUCUGGCACUGACCUCAGGGCAAGUCUGUGGAUCUCCUCUAUAAAAGGGGGAAGGGUUGAUUCAAGUUUGGUUAAGAUCUCCACUGGCUGGUGCUGAGUCAAGUAGUAUUAGAAAUCCCUGCCGCAGAGAGGUUAUGUUCUGAAAACAUGUGCCACCUGCCUUACUGUGGUAAUCUAGUUAGGUCUUUAUAUGGUUCCCAUAGUGACCUGAUCACUGUCUGCAGCUGGGGUGGAGAUUUGAGAGUAGAGCAGUCUUUAAUCUCCCAGACAAAGGCAGAACAAGAGCCAAUCGGUGGACGUUGAAACAAGACAAAUUCAGACUGGAAAUAAGACAAAUUUUUAACCCCGAGAGGAAUUAGCCAGUGAACAUAGGGACGUUGUGGAUUCUCCAUUACUUGGAGUCUUUAAGUCAAGACUGGCUCUCUUUCCUAAACCUGCACUGUACCUCACACAAAUUACAGGAGUGAUGCCGGAAAAGGGAUUCUCUGACCUAUAUAUAGUAUGCAGGAGGUGAACCUCAAUGAUCAGAAUGUGCCGUUCUGGUCUUCAAAGCAGUGAAUCAUUUCCGCAGUAUGUGAGCAUCUCAGUUUUGAAUGGAUUUAUCUUCCCAACACCUCUGUGAGGCAGGGCAGCGCUGUUCUCCCCAUUUUACAGAUGGGGAAACUGAGGCACAAAGCAACUAAAUGACUCGGCCAAGUUCACACAAGCAGACUGGCAGAGCAGGGACUCAAACCCAGGUCUCCUGACUCCCAGUCCAGCACCUGAGCCUUAAGAUCAUUCUUCAUCUUCUAAGUUACGUACCAUUAGGGUUGCCUGCUUGAAGAAAUACAGACCCUUGGCUCUGGUUAGGUGGCCCUAUUAGUGCCAUGAGCCCAGGCUCAGUGUGGGGUGAAUGCGGCCUAAGGUGAACAUACAGAUCUAGGGCAGCUGACAGUUCCCAGCUUCAAUUCCUUGGCACUACUGCAUCAAAAUGGGUGCGCUCUCCUCUUCCUCAUCAACCUGAACAGGAAGGGGCAGAUUGAGGUAAACCCAGGCCUUUGGCACAACAGACCACCCACAACAUGAUCCGUGUGUGGAAUGGCUUGGCGACGACGAGAACUGAAAGGAAGCCUGGAGCUGGGGAGCCUCCAGCUGAAAUUCUCUUCUCUUCUUACUCUCUCCUAGAGCAGAGCGGAUUGGGCCUUCUCUCUCUCUCUGUCUCUCUCUCUUUCCCUCCCAGCCCAACUCCACCAUUCCUUGUUCUCCGAAAGCAGCGAGCUCCGUCCCCGCCACAGUGCUCUGGAUGCUGUCGGAAGGCUCCCUGCUCGGUGAGAUUUUCCACACUUCCUGGCUGCUGGGUAACGGGCGACGGGCGCAAACUCAGCCUUGGCCCAGCUCUGCCCGGGGAGAUCUGCAUGGAGCUAGGAGUUGGGAGAAGUCUUUCCCUGUGAUCAUGACUGGUGCUUGGGGUGGGAUUGAUCUUUCAAGGUGUUGAGAACUCUCAUCACCUGGUGGGGUGGGAUGCCGGCUUGUAGGGCUGGCAUGCUUUGCAUCAUGGGCCGCUUUCUCCGUCUAGGGGUGUUGGGACAGGAGGGAAUUCUCUGGCGUAAAGAUCCAGGUUGUCCCAAUUUCCUCCUGGGUGAUAAGAUUCUUCCUGAAGCCUUUGGUUUGGGUGAGACUGGUGGGGGCAGCCUUGCAUCUUCGCUCUAUACCAAGGCAGCUCAGAUUUGGCGGGGCCUCUUCUCUGCCUCAGAAAGAUCUCUAAACCGCUGCUUCUAGGUGGGAGUCACCUUGCUUCCUUGUCUAAUCCGGGGCCUUGACCGACACCACACCUUCCACAGCUUCCCUCCUUGAUCCCUGCCCCUUGACAUGGGGGGUCCCGCAUCAGAGAUGGGGCCAACAGAGCUCGUGUGUGGGACGAGAACGGAGGCGUGUCUACCACCGGGUACCUUCAGCAGUAGUCUCGACUCCCUGUUCAUUGCAAUUGGCUCCAGCAGAGAAGAAUGGAGCGCGGGGACUGCAGGCUCUUCUGCAAUGGAUGAGCAUGGCGAGCUGCUCCUGAGGCUGGUAGGUGUGUGUGUGUGGAGGCCAAGGGCGGGGUAGAAGGCUAGAGCUCAGUCCUUUGUGGGUUGGAGCAGUGGAAUACAUAACUUCCUAGGAGGCUCUGAGCAGCAGUAAGUAUAAAGCCUCUCUCCUUUAGAGAUCUGGGUUAAAUUUGACCACAGGAGCUACAUGAGACGGGUUGAGUUUGUUUUGCUGCUCCCCAGUGGACCAACCCCCGACCCCCAAGAUGGCCAGAUAGCUAGUGUCAGCUAAGGAGAAGCCCAGGAAUGGACUAGUGGAGGUGGAGGGUGUUGCUACAGGACAUGAUUGGGGGCCAUUGGCUGCUGUGUGAGAGAGGAGUCUGGGGUGGGUAUUGAGGGGGGUCAGCAGAGCUGGGAGAGGAAGCCAGGGGACUGUGUGUCAGGACUGAGAGGGACCUUGACAGAAUUGUGUAGCGGGGGAGUCAGGCUGGGAUAGCUGGGCGGCUGUGGGUUGGGAUUAAGGAGCAUUGGCAGAGCUGGGGCCCGGGGGGGCUUGAAGUGGAGCCCAGCCUGGGAUAGCAUCAGGGCUGUGGGCCAGGAUUGAGGCGCAUCAGCAGAGCUGUGUGUGGACCCAGAACUGGAUUGCCUGCUAGUUCUGUGCAGCUGGUGCUAAGCUGCCGUGACAUUUCGCAUUGGAACUCCAUCAGCACUAGGGGCAGCCCCCUCUGCAGAACCCUAGCAUCUCUGAAAGCAGUUGGCUUCUGCUGUAUCAGUGACCAUUGGCUACCUGGCUCCAGUCCUCAUCCGAGGCCCAAACUGCACUUGAGUGAAAUUUGUCGCCCUGGCAUAGUGCUCUGGGGUUGGUGGGUGGCACCUGGUACAGCAUCACACAGGUAGGGGCUGUAGGGGCAAUGCUUGGGACUAAUAAACAUCCUUGUUUUAAGUAGCA